rnacentral:rRNA from 1 species
UUUGAUCCUGGCUCAGAACGAACGCUGGCGGCAGGCUUAACACAUGCAAGUCGAGCGCCUCGCAAGAGGAGCGGCAGACGGGUGAGUAACGCGUGGGAAUCUACCCAUCUCUACGGAACAACUCCGGGAAACUGGAGCUAAUACCGUAUACGUCCUUCGGGAGAAAGAUUUAUCGGAGAUGGAUGAGCCCGCGUUGGAUUAGCUAGUUGGUGGGGUAAUGGCCUACCAAGGCGACGAUCCAUAGCUGGUCUGAGAGGAUGAUCAGCCACACUGGGACUGAGACACGGCCCAGACUCCUACGGGAGGCAGCAGUGGGGAAUAUUGGACAAUGGGCGCAAGCCUGAUCCAGCCAUGCCGCGUGAGUGAUGAAGGCCCUAGGGUUGUAAAGCUCUUUCAACGGUGAAGAUAAUGACGGUAACCGUAGAAGAAGCCCCGG